GGAGAGGUGCCGGAGUGGUCGAACGGGGCGGUCUCGAAAACCGUUGAGCCUUAACGGGUUCCCAGGGUUCGAAUCCCUGUCUCUCCGCCA
rnacentral:tRNA from 1 species